GAUGUGACAUAUUCUAGUACUAUGAAUCUAGACAUACAUACGUCCAGAUUCAUAGUACUAUAAUAUGUAUGUCCAGAUUCAUAGUACUAGAAUAUGUCACAUCCGGUCCU
rnacentral:misc_RNA from 1 species